rnacentral:rRNA from 1 species
GAUGAACGCUAGCGGCAGGCUUAAUACAUGCAAGUCGUGGGGCAGCGCAGGUAGCAAUACUGGGCGGCGACCGGCAAACGGGUGCGGAACACGUACACAACCUUCCGAGAAGUGGGGAAUAGCCCAGAGAAAUUUGGAUUAAUACCCCGUAACAUAACGAUGUGGCAUCACAUUGUUAUUAUAGCUUCGGCGCUUCUUGAUGGGUGUGCGGCUGAUUAGAUAGUUGGCGGGGUAACGGCCCACCAAGUCUACGAUCAGUAGCUGAUGUGAGAGCAGGAUCAGCCACACGGGCACUGAGACACGGGCCCGACUCCUACGGGAGGCAGCAGUAAGGAAUAUUGGUCAAUGGACGCAAGUCUGAACCAGCCAUGCCGCGUGAAGGAUUAAGGUCCUCUGGAUUGUAAACUUCUUUUAUCUGGGACGAAAAAAGGCGAUUCUUCGUCACUUGACGGUACCAGAUGAAUAAGCACCGGCUAACUCCGUGCCAGCCGCCGCGGUAAUAC